rnacentral:ncRNA from 1 species
UUCUUGGGGGUGCACUCCCUUUGCGGAGAGCUGAGAUAAUACCCGUGACCUGAUCCGGAUAAUACCGGCGUAGGGAAGAGAG